UCUCAAUGAUGUCAAAUCGAUGACGAGUCUGACAUGUUUUUAUAAUUUGAUGCAACUUGAGGCAUUUGUCUGAGAGAA
rnacentral:snoRNA from 1 species